GUGUGUCCAGCGUCAUGGAUGUACUCACUUGCGUGUGUGUGUCCCGCGUCAUGGAUGUACUCACUUGCGUGUGUGUCCCGCGUCAUGGAUGUACUCACUUGCGUGUGUGUCCCGCGUCAUGGAUGUACUCACUUGCGUGUGUGUCCCGCGUCAUGGAUGUACUCACUUGCGUGUGUGUGUCCCGCGUCAUGGAUGUACCCACUUGCGUGUGUGUCCCGCGUCAUGGAUGUACCCACUUGCGUGUGUGUCCCGCGUCAUGGAUGUACUCACUUGCGUGUGUGUGUCCCGCGUCAUGGAUGUACUCACUUGCGUGUGUGUGUCCCGCGUCAUGGAUGUACUCACUUGCGUGUGUGUGUCCCGCGUCAUGGAUGUACUCACUUGCGUGUGUGUCCCGCGUCAUGGGUGUACUCACUUGCGUGUGUGUCCCGCGUCAUGGAUGUACUCACUUGCGUGUGUGUCCCGCGUCAUGGGUGUACUCACUUGCGUGUGUGUCCCGCGUCAUGGAUGUACUCACUUGCGUGUGUGUCCCGCGUCAUGGAUGUACUCACUUACCUGUGUGUGUCCAGCGUCAUGGAUGUACUCACUUGACUGUGUGUCCCGCGUCAUGGAUGUACCCACUUACCUGUGUGUGUCCCGCGUCAUGGAUGUACUCACUUGCGUGUGUGUCCAGCGUCAUGGAUGUACUCACUUGACUGUGUGUCCCGCGUCAUGGAUGUACCCACU
rnacentral:lncRNA from 1 species